rnacentral:rRNA from 1 species
GUGUCAGCAGCCGCGGUAAUACGUAGGUGGCAAGCGUUGUCCGGAAUUAUUGGGCGUAAAGCGCGCGCAGGCGGUUUCUUAAGUCUGAUGUGAAAGCCCCCGGCUCAACCGGGGAGGGUCAUUGGAAACUGGGAAACUUGAGUGCAGAAGAGGAAAGUGGAAUUCCAAGUGUAGCGGUGAAAUGCGUAGAGAUUUGGAGGAACACCAGUGGCGAAGGCGACUUUCUGGUCUGUAACUGACGCUGAGGCGCGAAAGCGUGGGGAGCAAACAGGAUUAGAUACCCUGGUAGUCCACGCUGUAAACGAUGAGUGCUAAGUGUUAGAGGGUUUCCGCCCUUUAGUGCUGAAGUUAACGCAUUAAGCACUCCGCCUGGGGAGUACGGUCGCAAGACUGAA